CCCCGAAUGGCUCAUUUGGCCAGAGCAUUUGGCUGUAGUCAUUCACAUCAAAAGGUCACCUGUUCGAAUCAAGUUCACAGAG